AGAGUUUGAUCCUGGCUCAGGAUGAACGCUGACAGAAUGCUUAACACAUGCAAGUCUACUUGAAGCAACUUCGGUUGUGGAUGGUGGCGGACGGGUGAGUAACGCGUAAAGAACUUGCCCCCUAGUCUGGGACAACUGUUGGAAAUGACAGCUAAUACUGGAUAUUAUGAGACCUUGGCAUCAAGGACUUAUGAGAGCUAUAUGCGCUAGGGGAGAGCUUUGCGUCCUAUUAGCUAGUUGGUGAGGUAAUGGCUCACCAAGGCGACGAUAGGUAGCCGGCCUGAGAGGGUGAACGGCCACAAGGGGACUGAGACACGGCCCUUACUCCUACGGGAGGCAGCAGUGGGGAAUAUUGGACAAUGGACCAAAAGUCUGAUCCAGCAAUUCUGUGUGCUUGAUGAAGGCCUUCGGGUUGUAAAGAGCUUUAAGUAGGGAAGAAGAAAGUGACGGUACCUACAGAAUAAGCGACGGCUAAAUACGUGCCAGCAGCCGCGGUAA
rnacentral:rRNA from 1 species